CCGCCCCCCGGCACACGGACUACUUUGUCACCGCACGCCCGUGUGCCUCCGCCCCCAGCGGAGGAGGACAGGCCCGGCCACGGCGGAGACGAGAGACCCGCAAGCAGCUUCAGGGCAAUGUCCCAUCCAUGCUCUGAAAGUACCAGGAAGGCAACGGCGCUGAACUGAUCUGAGCACCAGCAGCACUUGGCAUUCUCCCCAGAGCUGUCUGAGCAAACAAGGCAAAGGGGAAAAAGCCUGUCCCUCCCUCUCUCCACCUGCCCAGUGACUCAGAACAACUAGAAAUGGCAGCUUAACUCUCAGAACGGAGACCGAUAUAUCCAGCAGUCAGCGUGAGGGCAUCAGGAGUGCCAAGAAACUGAGCACUGGCAUUUGAUUCUGUGGGGUUUUUUUUCCUGCUCUAACUUUAGAGGUUCUCCAUCCAUUUUUUCUUCUACAGACAGAAAGAAGAACGUUUCUCGAGAUCUCGCAGAAAAGCUGCUUCUUAAAUAUGCUUUUCCAAGGAGCGACGAAAACCUGCAAGGGAUGCCUCGACUUCUAAUUUUCUAUAAGAGUUCUUUAAGACUCAACUGGGCAAAUUCUGACCGAGAAGCGACAAGGAUACAUCUCCUUCCUUCAGGCAUAACCUGGAAGACAACUUAUCUCGCAGCCAGAAGGAUGCUCCCAAGUGCUGCUGGAGCCAUAACGCACGGCGGGGCAGGGAAAUAAAACGAAAAUAAAGCAGGGAAGGAGGGAGGGA